GCAGCAGUGGGGAAUAUUGGACAAUGGGGGCAACCCUGAUCCAGCGAUGCCGCGUGAGUGAUGAAGGCCUUAGGGUUGUAAAACUCUUUCGCUAGGGAAGAUAAUGACGGUACCUAGUAAAGAAGAUCCGGCUAACUCCGUGCCAGCAGCCGCGGUAAUACGGAGGGAUCUAGCGUUAUUCGGAAUAACUGGGCGUAAAGCGAGCGUAGGCGGAUUUGUAAGUUGGAGGUGAAAUCCCAGGGCUUAACCCUGGAACUGCCUUCAAAACUACAUUUCUUGAGUUUGGUAGAGGAGAGUGGAAUUCCUAGUGUAGAGGUGAAAUUCGUAGAUAUUAGGAGGAACACCAGUGGCGAAGGCGACUCUCUGGGCCAAUACUGACGCUGAGGUUCGAAAGCGUGGGGAGCAAACGGGAUUAGAUACCCCGGUAGUCCACGCAGUAAACGAUGAGUGCUAGAUGUUGGGAACAUUAGUUUUCAGUAUCGCAGCUAACGCGUUAAGCACUCCGCCAGGGAAGUACGGCCGCAAGGCUAAAACUCAAAUGAAUUGACGGGGACCCGCACAAGCGGUGGAUCAUGUGGUUUAAUUCGAAGCAACGCGAAGAACCUUACCGGCUCUUGACAUACCAAUCGCGGAUCUAAGAGAUUAGAUCCUUCACUUCGGGUGGAUUGGAUACAGGUGCUGCAUGGCUGUCGUCAGCUCGUGUCGUGAGAUGUUGGGUUAAGUCCCGCAACGAGCGCAACCCCUACCUUCAAUUGCCAGCACGUUAUGGUGGGAACUUUGAAGGAACUGCCGGUGAUAAGCCGGAGGAAGGUGGGGAUGACGUCAAGUCCUCAUGGCCCUUACGGGCCGGGCUACACACGUGAUACAAUGGUGAUUACAAAGGGCUGCUAAAGAGCGAUCUCAAGCAAAUCCUUAAAAGUCAUCUCAGUUCGGAUUGCACUCUGCAACUCGAGUGCAUGAAGUUGGAAUCGCUAGUAAUCGUAGAUCAGCGCGCUACGGUGAAUACGUUCCCGGGUCUUGUACACACCGCCCGUCACACCAUGGGAGUUGGUUUUACCUGAAGCUAGUUCGCUAACCGCAAGGAGGCAGCUAACCACGGUAAGAUUAGCGACUGGGGUGAAGUCGUAACAAGGUAACCGUAGGGGAACCUGCGGUUG
rnacentral:rRNA from 1 species